CAAGUAACCCCUGCCGCACGGUACAGCUGGCCGCAUACAAAAAAAAUUUGAUUUAUUAUAAUUGUCACUUUUUGAACUUGUAAAACAUAUGACGGUAUGAGAAUGACUAAAUAAGACUUUAAAAAGAAAGUCGUAACCUUAAAUUGUCAUUUUCUCUCUCUAACCCCCAUCCCUAUCCUCCACCGCCCCCCGUUUUCUAAGCCCAUACUCGCCGGCGACUAGCGCGCUUCGCCUAGCCGUCGCCGGCGAGCCCAAUCUCUCCGUUAUUUUCCUUUCCUGCUAUAUAAUUUUUUCGUUUUUGGGUCUGUUGGUGAAGAAUUCAGGGGUCCUCUUCAGUGGUUCCGUUUAAUUGGGUUCAUCGUCAAGUGGUUUGCGGCUUGCUUCAAAAAAUCAAGAACCAAAGGCUAGUCUUAACGCCGCCGUCGAAAGGAAUUUCGUUAAUUAAUUCCCGACGAUAAAGGUGAAGUUAAGGUUAGGAUUUCCUCGCGUAUCCAAGUUUAAGUUUAGUGAGGGGUUCUUUUCCGUUGCCGAUGACGAUUGUUCUUGGUGUUGGGUUGGGUUUCUUCCGGUGAGGUUUUAUCAGAGCUUGUUCUUCUGGUUAUGGUGUUGCAGCUUCUGCUUCUUUUGCCUUCUUCAAUGGCGCCAAAGGUAAUAGCGACUUUUACACCCUUCUUCGUUUUCCUCUUUAUUCCUUCGUAAAUUUGCGGCAUUAUUUCCCCGAUCAUACACCUGCUAAUACUUUAAUUGAUUUUGAUAAUGAUCGUGAAUUGUUUCUUCAAUUUGUUAGAGAACAAUGCAAAUUAGGGUUUUCUGAUGUCAAAUUUCCCCUUUCUCUCUUCAAUCAGAUGAUAACUUUACGCCCUCUUCCUUCUGUCAUUGAUUUCAAUCAGCUUUUAUCUGCAAUUGUCAAAUUGAAGCGCUUAAGACCACAUUCCACCAUUAUUUCUCUGUAUAGGAAGCUUAAAUUGUAUGGUAUUCGACUCGAUAUGAAUUCUAUUGGUAUUCUUGCCAAUUGCUACUGUCAUUUGGGUCGUAUCGAUUUCGGGUUUUCUCUCUUGGGUAAAUUACUUAAGCUUGGCUAUCCCAUUGAUUGUGUCAUCUUUAGUACCUUCAUCAAUGGCUAUAUCCAGUGUAAUAAGCUACCCCAAGCCGCUCAUUUGUUGAAUAAAAUUGUCAAGCUUGGUUUCCAACCCAACAUAGUUAACUAUAGCACUGUUGUCAAAGGGCUUUGUAGGAUUGGCGACAAUGCGUCUGCUCUCAAUUUUCUUAGAAAAAUGCAAUCUGGAUGACGCUAUAAACCUGACAUUGUUAUAUACAACACUAUUAUCGAUAGUCUUUGUAAGGACGGGCUGUUAGAAUAGGCCCUUCACCUUUUCUCCUCUAUGAAAACUGACGGCAUUAAACCCAAUGUUGUCACUUAUACUUCCUUGAUUCGAGGCCUCUACAAUUCCGGCUGAGGUGAAGAGGUUCAGCGUGUGUUGACUGAGAUGUUAGAGAGCAACAUAAAACCAGAUGUCCAGACCUACAGCAUGCUGGUUGACAUGUUUUGUAAAGAUGGGUGUGUUGAUCAAGCGCUGUCCAUACUAAAGCACAUGAUUGAGAAAGGUGUGGCUCCAAAAAUCCUUAUAAUGCAUUACUUGAUGGUCAUUGUUUGCGUGGUCAGAUGGAAGAUGCAGAGAACCUACUUGAUCUCAUAGCUGAAAAUGUUUGUGGGCCUAAUCUUGUUAGUUUUAAUACUAUGAUUAAUGGAUAUUGCAAGGCUAAAAACAUUGACAAGGUCUUACCAUAUUCUAUGAGAUGUUUCGGAAAGGGAUAACCCCUGAUGUUGUUUGCUAUAACACUCUUAUUGAUGGACUGUGCAAAGCCAAUAGACUCUCACUUGUCCAUAAGCUAUUCAGGGAAAUGCGGGCUCAUGGAAUUGCUCCAGUUGUCAUCACCUAUGCUUCCUUGCUUGACUACCUUUACAAAACUGCACGGCUUGAUGAGGCGGUGAUUGCUUGAAGAAAUGGAGAAAAAUGGUGUUAAGCCAAAUGAUUCCAUCUACAAUAUCCUGAUCAACAGCUUGUGUAAGGCUGGACAACUUGAAGAUGCGGAAAAUUUCUUCUCUAAUCUCCUUUCAAAGGGUCUGCAACCUGAUAUUAGAACGUACAAUAUAAUGAUCAAAGGCUUCUGCAAGAAAGGGCUCAUGAGUGAAGUUGGUCAAGUGUUGAGGAUAAUGGAGGAAGAUGGUUGUCCCCCUGAUGAUCGAACCUAUAAUAUUAUUAUCAGAGGAUAUAUUCUCAAUAAUGACUUGUCAAAAGCAUUUUACUAUUGUGAUAUUAUGACUAGCAAGAAAUUUGAAGCUGAUGCAGACACUUUUUCAUUAUUUGUCGACCUCUUGUCUUCUGGUAACUUAAGUGAUUCGUCAAAGGACUUGCUUCGGAAGUUUAUCAGUUGAAUUGUUGUUCAGAUGAUUGCAGGCUUGCAAAGAUUCAUACUCAUAAUAUGUUCUAUGGUUCAUUGAUGGUUUUUGGUGUUUCUUUCCCACUUUUUAUCGAUAUCGUUCUGUUUGCAGAUUGUCACUUCUGCUCUGUAAUAGUUGAACACAGUUAUAUAAUUAAAGUUUGGAACUCUUAUAUAUUCCCUAAAGUGGAGAAUAAUCUUAAUUUCAA